rnacentral:misc_RNA from 1 species
UGAAUUUUUCAUCUUAGCCAUUCUUA